rnacentral:lncRNA from 1 species
AUGAAUCAAGUAUAAUAAUAAAUAUAUGAUAAAAAACUAUAUUAUUCUUCAUCUAAAACUUUUUUUUCUUUGGAAUUUAGUUCCUUUUCUUUCGAGAAUUGUCGGUGUUCAUGCCUCUUGGAGGCUUCCCUUCAUCCUCCAGGCGGUCGUGAGUCUCCUCCUACCAUGUGGGUUUUUCCUUCCCACAAUUGAGUGGAAAGUAAAUAGUUCUUUUUGGUGGUUGGCAAUGGAAUGAGAGUUUCUUUUGGGC